UGUGUCCAAGCUGGUCGAUUGAAAUUUUCUGAGUUUUAAGCGCAUUUUUAUCAGUUUUUAACAGAUUAUCUGUUCUAACCUGUUUUAGAGACUAAUAUUUUUAUUCAUACAUUGAUCAGGGAUGGAGUGAGUGAAUCGCAGUUCAAACAGGUCCUCAACAUAGAAUUUGAACAGAUUCUUCAGGCGUGCAAGGCGCUUGAUGAAAGUUGGUCUCCUAAGUUCACCAUUGUGAUUGCUCAAAAACAGCAUCAUACCAAGUUUUUCCAACAAGGAAGCCCUGACAAUGUACCACCUGGAACGGUGGUUGACACCAAAGUCUGCCAUCCAUUAUACUACGAUUUCCACAUGUGUGCACAAGCAGGGAUGAUUGUGUUUAAAUCUUUUGAAUCUUGUUUUACUUUAUCUACAAGUUUUAGGUUUGCCAUUAGCAGUCUCAGCUAGUCAAGGCUCUUUCAUUUUCCAUAAACUACUCCCAUAUUGGACUUGUUUUAUGACUGAAUGAAUAUACGCUUCGACAUGAUCAUCUUAGAGUUAUGUUACUCCAACUCAGG